GGCCGAAAACUUUGCGGAUCUUGCAGGUGAGCUCGUCAAGGCCAUGGAGAAGCGCAAGUGGUGGAACCUAUAAUAAAAUCGCUACGUUUCUUUUUCCUCUUCUUCUUGGCUGAUUGACAGUAUGGGCUGUCACUUUUACCUAAUUGCACCCCAGAGGGCACAAUGGCUACCUUUCUUUUUCUUCGCUGAUUGACAGUAGGGCUGUCACUUUUACCUAAUUGCACCCCAGAGGGCAUCCAGUACUUUAAUUCUUUAUUUUUCAUCAAGCAUCAAAUUGUUGAUACACUACCUUUAACACACAAAAAGGGGGCAUAAAUGGUACAUAUUGUAAACGUGUAUGAUACAUGUAUCUCCAUGUUAUUGCUGUGAACAUGGAAAACAAAAAGGCAAAUUGUUAAGCGCAUAAAGUCUACAGAGAAUUGUUGAUUGUUCUGUAGUUGAGCAAGAGCAUAAGUUAUAGUUUGACUAAUUUGUUUGAGGUCACCACUAACCCCCGAGGGACAAAAGCACCUAUGCUUCAGUUUGAACAGAAACCAAAAGAAAAAAAAAUGGCCCACCAACUUUAAUUAAUAAACGCG
rnacentral:lncRNA from 1 species